rfam:Schistosoma curassoni strain Dakar, Senegal genome assembly, scaffold: SCTD_scaffold0000434
AUCCAGAUGACGAGUCUUAUGUAGGACGAAAUGCGUGUCCUAGAU